AUUUAGCCAUACUUGAUGGAAGAAACAGGAUUGGUGGAAGGAGGUUUGAUGGAGCUAACCAGUGAACAUCAGCUUGGGGUCAAGGAGGAGAUUAGGAACAAAAUUUUUACAAUGGAGUCAGAUCUGAUGAGUGAAAAUGAAAAGGUUUCUUCUGCAUUUCUUUGAGUUAAUAAGUAUGGAGAAGCAAGGCGUGAAAAUGAGAGAAAGCUUGAUACCCAAUAUCAACGAAAAAUUGCCGAAGCACUUGAUAAUCACUUGACUACUAUCCAAAGGGACCAUGAACUCAGGUCCCAGAUAGAAGAAAGGAAAAUAAGAAGUGAUGCGGCUUAUGAAGGGGCCAAAAGAAAAGAGAAAGCUCUCCUAGAAGAAAAACUCCGCCAAGAAAAAGCCAAAGCAGAAGCUGAGGCAAAACUCAGAGCUGAAGAAGCAAAUAGGGCUGCAAUGGAAGCUCAGAGAAGAGAAGCAAAAGAGGUUGCUGAAAGGGAG